AGGUCAUUUUGGGGACAAUUUCUUAUUUGCCUUUUGUAUCUUUCCCAAGCCUCGUACAAAGACUCCCCCACUUGUUGCUCAAAAUUAGUUAUGGCCUUCUUGAGUUU